rnacentral:pre_miRNA from 10 species
CCUGUUGAGGCUGCGCAGCCAAGAGCUGAUGGUCGGGUGGCUCCGUGCCUUCUGUAGGUCCCCCACGUUCUGGCCCAGCAGUGUCGUCACAUUGC